rnacentral:rRNA from 1 species
GAUGAACGCUGGCGGCGUGCCUAACACAUGCAAGUCGAACGGAGUCCAGCCUUUAAGACCUUCGGGUCAAAGAGGGGAAGACUGAGUGGCGGACGGGUGAGUAACACGUGGGCAACCUGGCUCAUAGAGGGGGAUAACAGAGAGAAAUUUCUGCUAAUACCGCAUAAGCACACACUGCCGCAUGGCAGAGGGUGAAAAGAGAAUCGCUAUGAGAUGGACCCGCGCCUGAUUAGCCAGUUGGCAGGGUAAGAGCCUACCAAAGCGACGAUCAGUAGCCGAUCUGAGAGGAUGAACGGCCACAUUGGGACUGAGACACGGCCCAAACUCCUACGGGAGGCAGCAGCGGGGGAUAUUGCACAAUGGGGGGAAUCCUGAUGCAGCGACGCCGCGUGAGUGAAGAAGUAUUUCGGUAUGUAAAGCUCUAUCAGCAGGGAAGAUAAUGACAGUACCUGAAGAAGAAGCCCCGGCUAACUACGUG